UCCCUGAUUGUCCAGUGGUUAAGACUUGGUGCUCUCACUGCCAUGGGCCCAGGUUCAAUCCCUGGUCAGGGAA
rnacentral:tRNA from 1 species